GGCCUGAUGGUCUAGUAGUAUGAUUCCUUGUUAGGGUGCGGUGUUCUACCAGGUCACGUGUCUCGAGGAGGUCCCGGGUUCAAUUCCCGGUUAGGCCC